rnacentral:rRNA from 1 species
AUUGAACGCUGGCGGCAGGCCUAACACAUGCAAGUCGAGCGGAUGAGAGGAGCUUGCUCCUUGAUUUAGCGGCGGACGGGUGAGUAAUGCCUAGGAAUCUGCCUGGUAGUGGGGGAUAACGUUCCGAAAGGAACGCUAAUACCGCGUACGUCCUACGGGAGAAAGCAGGGGACCUUCGGGCCUUGCGCUAUCAGAUGAGCCUAGGUCGGAUUAGCUAGUUGGUGAGGUAAUGGCUCACCAAGGCGACGAUCCGUAACUGGUCUGAGAGGAUGAUCAGUCACACUGGAACUGAGACACGGUCCAGACUCCUACGGGAGGCAGCAGUGGGGAAUAUUGGACAAUGGGCGAAAGCCUGAUCCAGCCAUGCCGCGUGUGUGAAGAAGGUCUUCGGAUUGUAAAGCACUUUAAGUUGGGAGGAAGGGCAGUAAGUUAAUACCUUGCUGUUUUGACGUUACCGACAGAAUAAGCACCGGCUAACUUCGUGCCAGCAGCCGCGGUAAUACGAAGGGGUGCAAGCGUUAAUCGGAAUUACUGGGCGUAAAGCGCGCGUAGGUGGUUCGUUAAGUUGGAUGUGAAAAGCCCCGGGCUCAACCUGGGAACUGCAUCCAAAACUGGCGAGCUAGAGUACGGUAGAGGGUGGUGGAAUUUCCUGUGUAGCGGUGAAAUGCGUAGAUAUAGGAAGGAACACCAGUGGCGAAGGCGACCACCUGGACUGAUACUGACACUGAG